UCGAGAAUCAUUGUCAAUGGGCGCAAGCCUGAACGUGCGACGCCGCGUGUGGGAUGAAGGCCUUCGGGUUGUAAACCACUGUCAGGGGCUAACAAUAAGCGUGUAACCCACGUGAUGAGUUAAACCCCAGAGGAAGUGACAGCUAACUACGUGCCAGCAGCUGCGGUAAUACGUAGGUCGCAAACGUUGUUCGGAUUUACUGGGCUUAAAGGGCGUGUAGGUGGUUUCGUAAGUCAAGGUUGAAAUCCGGCGGCUCACCCGCCGAACUGGCCUCGAUACUGCGGAACUAGAGUCACGGAGGGGUGCGUGGAACUUGUGGUGGAGCGGUGAAAUGCUCAGAUAUCACAGGGAACACCCGAGGCGAAGGCGACGCACUGGCCGUGUACUGACACUGAGGCGCGAAAGCGUGGGGAGCGAACGGGAUUAGAUACCCGCGUAGUCC
rnacentral:rRNA from 1 species